AGACGAAAAAUGAGGCGUCCUCCGCCACC
rnacentral:sRNA from 1 species